UCGGAAUAGACAGCAAUGAAUAAUUGUGUCCUUUUCUCUCUUUGAACCAGAUUCAUCCAAACAAUCUCCCUUCUUCUCUGUUAGGGCUACCAUGUAUGCGUUGUUACUUCUCAGUAAAAAAAGGUACAUUUUUUUAUGCGAUUAGACAUCUACAGUUUAUGCCAUUGCAAUUUCUGUUCAGAUUACAGUGAUUGUCAAUAUUCCUUCACAGAAUUCUACUAUAAAGCUCAGCCAAAUUAUUGACGAGACUGUCCGUUCAGGAAUUCAACUUAGCCCGAAUUUAGUUGUCUCCAAGUUUAUAACGAGAGGAAGGAGGUUCAAAAUACUGGAUACUAAGCAAGCAGAUAGUCGCCAAUCUCAACCAUAAUCGACGAUAUUCCAUCUCUACAACAUCGCGCUAUUAAAUACUUAGCGAGGAGUCAUCCCUCCAACUCUCACAAAUUGGACAGACGCCAACAUGUAUGCCCUGUUAUUCCUCAACCAAACCGUAAAAACGAGAAUCACAGGUUCAAAUCCGUACUUUUAACCUCAGUUUUGAAUAGGUCCUAUCUGUGCCUAGCAGCGGGCUUCUCUCAAUUGCGAGAAACAUUAUAUCACGAUUUGUUUUUUGGUAUUUCGUUGCAAUGUUGGGACCUAAGACUGAAGAAACCAGUUGAUGAGAUACAAUUUUGUUAGCGAGAAAUAUCCUCCAAGAUACAAUAGUUCAUGUUUAGUUGAUGUCAAAUUAUGUGUGUCAUUAUUAUUUUCCCUUUAUACAACAGAUUUUGAUAGUAUGGCAGGAAAUUGAAUUGGUGGAUUGAUUCUGUACCUGGUGAAGGUGAGCUUAUAACAGAUAUGACUAGAGGUAUGCAACUGAUACGUGAGUUCUUUGAUCUCUUGGUUAUAUCAGAAAAAGCCACAAAGAUCAGAAUCGUGCAAUCUAUCAAACUUGCAUCAAACCUUUCAGUUUCCCAGGA